CUACUACUCCCUCCGUUCGGAAUUACUUGUCUCGGAAAUGGAUGUAUCUAGAACUAAAAUACGUCUAGAUACAUCCAUUUCUGCGACAAGUAAUUCCGAACGGAGGGAGUACCUG
rnacentral:pre_miRNA from 1 species